UACGUAGGGGGCGAGCGUUGUCCGAAGUUACUGGGCGUAAAGCGCGCGUAGGCGGGGGAUUAAGUGAGAGGUGAAAGGCUGGGGCUCAACCCCAUGCAGUGCCUCUCAUACUGGUCUUCUUGAGGGCGGUAGGGAGAAGUGGAAUGGCUGGUGUAGCGGUGAAAUGCGUAGAUAUCAGGAGGAACACCUGUGGUGUAGACAGCUUACUGGACCACGACUGACGCUGAGACACGAAAGCGUGGGUAGCAAACAGG
rnacentral:rRNA from 1 species